CAUCAUUUGAUAAUAACUUUUAAAACACAUUUUUUGUGGUAUAGAUGCAGUGACUGAGACUGGGAGAUGCAGUGACGGAAACCUGGUGUGUUCCAGAAAAAGGUCCUGAAACUACUGGUCGACAUCCGCCAUCGCCUGAAGGAAACCAGAAGGGGUCGUGAAAUUCGGUUCCACAGCCACUGAGGUGUAUGUACAUCAAGGUGAACCUCAAGCACGCGUCGCAAAGACUUAAAUUCACUUCGCCCUGAUGAGCCCAAGCCUACAGGACUUGAAUUAA